rnacentral:rRNA from 1 species
UACAGAGGUCCCGAGCGUUGUUCGGAUUCAUUGGGCGUAAAGGGUGCGUAGGUGGUUUGUUAAGUCUGCUGUGAAAUCCCCGGGCUCAACCUGGGAAUGGCAGUGGAUACUGGCAAGCUAGAGUGCGGUAGAGGGUAGUGGAAUUCCCGGUGUAGCAGUGAAAUGCGUAGAGAUCGGGAGGAACACCAGUGGCGAAGGCGGCUACCUGGACCAGCACUGACACUGAAGCACGAAAGCGUGGGGAGCAAACAGG